UACAGAGGUCCCAAGCGUUGUUCGGAUUCACUGGGCGUAAAGGGUGCGUAGGCGGUCUGAUAAGUCAUCUGUGAAAUCUAUGGGCUCAACCCAUAGUCUGCAGGCGAAACUGUCGGGCUUGAGUAUGGGAGAGGUGAGUGGAAUUUCCGGUGUAGCGGUGAAAUGCGUAGAUAUCGGAAGGAACACCUGUGGCGAAAGCGGCUCACUGGACCAUUACUGACGCUGAGGCACGAAAGCUAGGGGAGCAAACAGG
rnacentral:rRNA from 1 species